UGGAACCAACAAAAGAUAUAGCUCUGAUGGCAUCAUCAUCACAAAUAGCAUUAACAAUAUCAUUAGUGCCAUGAACAAUGUUUAAGACACCAUUAGGCAGACCAGCUUCCAUUGCCAACUCUGCAAGCAUUACAGAAGCCCCUGGAUCUUUCUCUGAUGGCUUUAAGACAAAGGUAUUACCACAUGUAACUGCAAGAGGGAA
rnacentral:misc_RNA from 1 species